UACGUAGGCAGCGAGCGUUGUUCGGAGUUACUGGGCGUAAAGAGUGCGUAGGCGGUUUUCUAAGUUUGGUGUGAAAUCUCACGGCUUAACUGGGAGGGUGCGCCGAAAACUGGAAGGCUUGAGUAUGGGAGAGGUAAGCGGAAUUCCUGGUGUAGCGGUGAAAUGCGUAGAUAUCAGGAGGAACACCUGCGGUGUAGACGGCUUACUGGACCAUAACUGACGCUGAGGCACGAAAGCGUGGGUAGCAAACAGG
rnacentral:rRNA from 1 species